rnacentral:rRNA from 1 species
CCUACGAGUGGCUGCAGUGAGGAAUAUUGGUCAAUGGGCGCGAGCCUGAACCAGCCAAGUAGCGUGAAGGAUGACUGCCCUACGGGUUGUAAACUUCUUUUAUAAAGGAAUAAAGUGAGGCACGUGGGCCUUUUUGUAUGUACUUUAUGAAUAAGGAUCGGCUAACUCCGUGCCAGCAGCCGCGGUAAUACGGAGGUUCCGAGCGUUAUCCGGAUUUAUUGGGUUUAAAGGGAGCGUAGAUGGGUUGUUAAGUCAGUUGUGAAAGUUUGCGGCUCAACCGUAAAAUUGCAAUUGAUACUGGCAGUCUUGAGUACAGUUGAGGUAGGCGGAAUUCGUGGUGUAGCGGUGAAAUGCUUAGAUAUCACGAAGAACUCCGAUUGCGAAGGCAGCUUACUAAACUGCCACUGACAUUGAUGCUCGAAAGUGUGGGUAUCAAACAGGAUUAGAUACCCCUGUAGUC